rnacentral:tRNA from 1 species
UGCGGGUUGGAGAAGUAGUAUCUCAUCGGACUCAUUAUCCGAAGAACGCAGCGUGCAAAUCCUGCACCCGCAACCA